UUGACAUCCAGAGAAUUUAGCAGAGAUGCUUUAGUGCCUUCGGGAACUCUGAGACAGGUGCUGCAUGGCUGUCGUCAGCUCGUGUUGUGAAAUGUUGGGUUAAGUCCGCAACGAGCGCAACCCUUUAUCCUUUGUUGCCAGCACGUAAUGGUGGGAACUCAAAGGAGACUGCCGGUGAUAAACCGGAGGAAGGUGGGGAUGACGUCAAGUCAUCAUGGCCCUUACGAGUAGGGCUACACACGUGCUACAAUGGCGUAUACAAAGAGAAGCGACCUCGCGAGAGCAAGCGGACCUCAUAAAGUGCGUCGUAGUCCGGAUUGGAGUCUGCAACUCGACUCCAUGAAGUCGGAAUCGCUAGUAAUCGUAAAUCAGAAUGUUACGGUGAAUACGUUCCCGGGCCUUGUACACACCGCCCGUCACACCAUGGGAGUGGGUUGCAAAAGAAGUAGAUAGCUUAACCUUCGGGAGGGCGUUUACCACUUUGUGAUUCAUGACUGGGGUGAAGUCGUAACAAGGUAAGCGUAGUGCU
rnacentral:rRNA from 1 species